rnacentral:rRNA from 1 species
GCAGUGGGGAUAUUGCACAAUGGGCGCAAGCCUGAUGCAGCCAUGCCGCGUGUAUGAAGAAGGCCUUCGGGUUGUAAAGUACUUUCAGCGGGGAGGAAGGCGAUAAGGUUAAUAACCUUGUCUAUUGACGUUACCCGCAGAAUAAGCACCGGCUAACUCCGUGCCAGCAGCCGCGGUAAUACGGAGGGUGCAAGCGUUAAUCGGAAUUACUGGGCGUAAAGCGCACGCAGGCGGUCUGUCAAGUCGGAUGUGAAAUCCCCGGGCUCAACCUGGGAACUGCAUUCGAAACUGGCAGGCUAGAGUCUUGUAGAGGGGGGUAGAAUUCCAGGUGUAGCGGUGAAAUGCGUAAAGAUCUGGAGGAAUACCGGUGGCGAAGGCGGCCCCCUGGACAAAGACUGACGCUCAGGUGCGAAAGCGUGGGGAGCAAACAGGAUUAAAUACCCUGGUAGUCCACGCCGUAAACGAUGUCGACUUGGAGGUUGUGCCCUUGAGGCGUGGCUUCCGGAGCUAACGCGUUAAGUCGACCGCCUGGGGAGUACGGCCGCAAGGUUAAAACUCAAAUGAAUUGACGGGGGCCCGCACAAGCGGUGGAGCAUGUGGUUUAAUUCGAUGCAACGCGAAGAACCUUA